rnacentral:pre_miRNA from 1 species
AGUGGGAUAACUGGGUCAAAUGGUGGUUCCAUUCCAAGUUUUUCUAAGGAAUAUCCAUGGUGCUUUCCAUAGUGGUUGUAUCAAUUUGCAAUCCCACCAGUGGU